rnacentral:rRNA from 1 species
UGGGGAAUUUUGGACAAUGGGGGAAACCCUGAUCCAGCCAUCCCGCGUGUGCGAUGAAGGCCUUCGGGUUGUAAAGCACUUUUGGCAGGAAAGAAACGUCGCGGGUUAAUACCCCGCGAAACUGACGGUACCUGCAGAAUAAGCACCGGCUAACUACGUGCCAGCAGCCGCGGUAAUACGUAGGGUGCAAGCGUUAAUCGGAAUUACUGGGCGUAAAGCGUGCGCAGGCGGUUCGGAAAGAAAGAUGUGAAAUCCCAGAGCUUAACUUUGGAACUGCAUUUUUAACUACCGGGCUAGAGUGUGUCAGAGGGAGGUGGAAUUCCGCGUGUAGCAGUGAAAUGCGUAGAUAUGCGGAGGAACACCGAUGGCGAAGGCAGCCUCCUGGGAUAACACUGACGCUCAUGCACGAAAGCGUGGGGAGCAAACAGGAUUAGAUACCCUGGUAGUCCACGCCCUAAACGAUGUCAACUAGCUGUUGGGGCCUUCGGGCCUUGGUAGCGCAGCUAACGCGUGAAGUUGACCGCCUGGGGAGUACGGUCGCAAGAUUAAACUCAAAUGAAUUGACGGGGUCAUAGCUGUUUUCCU